rnacentral:rRNA from 1 species
UACGAAGGGGGGCUAGCGUUGUUCGGAAUUACUGGGCGUAAAGCGCACGUAGGCGGAUUGUUAAGUUAGGGGUGAAAUCCCAGGGCUCAACCCUGGAACUGCCUUUAAUACUGGCAAUCUCGAGUCCGAGAGAGGUGAGUGGAAUUCCGAGUGUAGAGGUGAAAUUCGUAGAUAUUCGGAGGAACACCAGUGGCGAAGGCGGCUCACUGGCUCGGUACUGACGCUGAGGUGCGAAAGCGUGGGGAGCGAACAGG